GACGUAGGGCGCGAGCGUUGUCCGGAUUUAUUGGGCGUAAAGAGCUCGUAGGCGGCUUGUCGCGUCGAAUGUGAAAACUCGGGGCUCAACUCCGAGCUUGCAUUCGAUACGGGCAGGCUAGAGUUCGGUAGGGGAGACUGGAAUUCCUGGUGUAGCGGUGAAAUGCGCAGAUAUCAGGAGGAACACCGGUGGCGAAGGCGGGACUCUGGGCCGAUACUGACGCUGAGGAGCGAAAGCGUGGGGAGCGAACAGG
rnacentral:rRNA from 1 species